rnacentral:rRNA from 1 species
AUUGAACGCUGGCGGCAGGCCUAACACAUGCAAGUCGAACGAGUGGCGGACGGGUGAGUAAUGUCUGGGAAAAUGCCCGAUGGAGGGGGAUAACUACUGGAAACGGUAGCUAAUACCGCAUACCAUCGGAUGUGCCCAGAUGGGAUUAGCUGGUAGGUGGGGUAACGGCGCACCUAGGCGACGAUCCCUAGCUGGUCUGAGAGGAUGACCAGCCACACUGGAACUGGGACACGGUCCGAACGCCUACGGGAGGCAGCAGUGGGGAAUAUUGCACAAUGGGCGCAAGCCUGAUGCAGCACUGCCGCGUGUAUGAAGAGGGCCUUCGGGUUGUAAAGUACUUUCAGCGAGGAGGCGUUACCCGCAGAAGAAGCACCGGCUAACUCCGUGCCAGCAGCCGCGGUAAUAC